ACGAACGCUGGCGGCGUGCUUAACACAUGCAAGUCGAGCGAGAGCCGGCUGAGGGGGUAACCCUCGGCCGGGGACAGCGGCGAACGGGUGCGUAACACGUGGGCAACCUGCCCCUGACUCUGGGAUAACCCCGGGAACCGGAGCUAAUACCGGAUACUCUCGGCCAACCACAUGGUCGGCCGAGGAAAGAUCUGUCGGUC
rnacentral:rRNA from 1 species